GAUGAACGCUAGCUACAGGCUUAACACAUGCAAGUCGAGGGGUAACGAGAGGAAAGCUUGCUUUCCUUGUCGACGACCGGCGCACGGGUGAGUAACGCGUAUCCAACCUGCCCCCAACUAGGGAAUAACCUUGCGAAAGUAAGACUAAUACCCUAUAAUUUCCUCAGAUGACAUCUGACGAGGAAUAAAGAUUUAUCGGUUGUGGAUGGGGAUGCGUCUGAUUAGCUUGUUGGCGGGGUAACGGCCCACCAAGGCAACGAUCAGUAGGGGCUCUGAGAGGAAGGUCCCCCACAUUGGAACUGAGACACGGUCCAAACUCCUACGGGAGGCAGCAGUGAGGAAUAUUGGUCAAGGGGCGGAAGCCUGAACCAGCCAAGUAGCGUGCAGGAUGACGGCCCUAUGGGUUGUAACUGCUUUUAUACAGGAAUAAAGUUAGCCACGUGUGGUUAUUUGUAGGUACUGUAUGAAUAAGGACCGGCUAAUUCCGUGCCAGCCGCCGCCGUAA
rnacentral:rRNA from 1 species